rnacentral:rRNA from 1 species
AGUGAACGCUGGCGGUAGGCCUAACACAUGCAAGUCGAACGGCAGCACAGUAAGAGCUUGCUCUUACGGGUGGCGAGUGGCGGACGGGUGAGGAAUACAUCGGAAUCUACUUUUUCGUGGGGGAUAAGGUAGGGAAACUUACGCUAAUACCGCAAACGACCUACGGGGGAAAGAAGGGGAUCUUCGGACCUUGCGCGAUUGAAUGAGCCGAUGUCGGAUUAGCUAGUUGGCGGGGUAAAGGCCCACCAAGGCGACGAUCCGUAGCUGGUCUGAGAGGAUGAUCAGCCACACUGGAACUGAGACACGGUCCAGACUCCUACGGGAGGCAGCAGUGGGGAAUAUUGGACAAUGGGCGCAAGCCUGAUCCAGCCAUACCGCGUGGGUGAAGAAGGCCUUCGGGUUGUAAAGCCCUUUUGUUGGGAAAGAAAAGCAGCAGGUUAAUACCCCGCUGUUCUGACGGUACCCAAAGAAUAAGCACCGGCUAACUUCGUG